rnacentral:lncRNA from 1 species
GUCCCAAUCAUAUUUGGUUUGUACAAGCAAAGGAAAAGGGUUACAGUGCAACAUUCUGUCCUGAUACCACGUGAGGAUGGAGACAAGAGUUGGAGACAGAGAGAGAAGGUGUCCAGAGUGUCCAGAGCGGAUUCGAGUGAUUCUGACAGGGUGUGACACACGUUGUUUUCUCUGGUGGAACCAAGCCAAGCAAAGAGGCAUUCACAGACAGAUCCUGUGGGUACCUUCAGCCAUCGAGGAGUUUGGCAAUCCCAAGAGCCUUGAGCACAUCUCUUCUUGGAA